GUGGGGCUGCCCCAUAAGUGGGGGGGAACACAUAAGUGGGGGGGGGGACCCAUCAGUGGGGCUGCCCCAUAAGUGGGGGGGAACCCAUCAGUGGGGGGGGGACCCAUCAGUGGGGCUGCCCCAUAAGUGGGGGGGAACCCAUCAGUGGGGGGGGACCCAUCAGUGGGGCUGCCCCAUAAUGGGGGGGAACACAUAAGUGGGGGGGGGACCCAUCAGUGGGGCUGCCCCAUAAGUGGGGGGGAACCCAUCAUGGGGGGGGGGACCCAUCAGUGGGGCUGACCCAUAAGUUGGAGGGGGUCCAUCAGUGGGGUAUGGGACCCAUAAGUGGGGUGGGACCCAUAAGUUGGGGAGAGCCAUAACUGGGGGCCGCCCCAUAAGUGGGGGGGGUCCAUCAGUGGGGGCUGCCCCAUAAGUAGGGGGGGACACCCAUCAGUGGGGCAGCCCCAUACGUGUGGUAGGGGGACCCAUCAGUGGGGGGGACCCAUAAGUGUGGGGGGGUCCAUCAGUGGGGUACGGGACCCAUAAGUGUGGCUGCCCCAUAAGUGUGGGGGGGGACCCAUCAGUGGAGGGGGGGGGCCAUCAGUGGGGUACGGGACCCAUAAGUGGGGUGGGGACCCAUCAGUGGGGGCUGCCCCAUAAGUAGGGGGGGACACCCAUCAGUGGGGCUGCCCCAUACGUGUGGGAGGGGGGACCCAUAAGUGGGGGGGGGGACCCAAAUGGGUCUCAAUGUCCCCAAAUGGGCCUCAAUGUCCCCAAAUGGGCCUCAAUGUCCCCAAAUCAGAUCCCACUGUCCCCAAAUGGGCCUCAGUGUCCCCAAAUGGGUCUCAAUGUCCCCAAUUCUGAUCCCAUUGACCCCAAAUGGGUCUCAAUGUCCCCAAAUCAGAUCCCACUGUCCCCAAAUGGGCCUCAAUGUCCCCCAAAUAGGGUCCCACUGUCCCCAAAUGGGUCUCAAUGUCCCCAAAUGGGCCUCAAUGUCCCCAAAUGGAUCCCACUGUCCCCAAAUGGGCCUCAGUGUCCCCAAAUGGGCCUCAAUGUCCCCAAUUCUGAUCCCAUUGACCCCAAAUGGGCCUCAGUGUCCCAAAGGGGUCUCAAUGUCCCCACAUCAGAUCCCACUGUCCCCAAAUGUGUCUCAAUGUCCCCAAAUGGGUCUCAAUGUCCCCAGUUCUGAUCCCAUUGACCCCAAAUGGGUCUCAGUGUCCCCAAAUGGGUCUCAAUGUCCCCAAAUCAGAUCCCACUGUCCCCAAAUGGGUCUCAAUGUCCCCAAAUGGGUCUCAGCCCCC
rnacentral:lncRNA from 1 species